rnacentral:rRNA from 1 species
UACAGAGGUCUCAAGCGUUGUUCGGAUUCAUUGGGCGUAAAGGGUGUGUAGGUGGCGCUGUAAGUCGGGUGUGAAAUCUCGGGGCUUAACUCCGAAACUGCAUUCGAUACUGCGGUGCUUGAGGACUGGAGAGGAGACUGGAAUUUACGGUGUAGCGGUGAAAUGCGUAGAUAUCGUAAGGAAGACCAGUGGCGAAGGCGGGUCUCUGGGCAGUUCCUGACGCUGAGGCACGAAGGCCAGGGGAGCAAACGGG